CCUACGGGAGGCAGCAGUGAGGAAUAUUGGUCAAUGGGCGCGAGCCUGAACCAGCCACGUAGCGUGAAGGAUGACUGCCCUACGGGUUGUAAACUUCUUUUAUAAAGGAAUAAAGUGAGGCACGUGUGCCUUUUUGUAUGUACUUGAUGCAUAAGGAUCGGCUAAAUCCGUGCCAGCAGCCGCGGUAAGACGGAGGAUCCGAGCGUUAUCCGGAUUUAUUGGGUUUAAAGGGAGCGUAGAUGGGUUCGUAAGUCAGUUGUGAAAGUGUGCGGCUCAACCGUAAGAUUGCUAUUGAUACUGGCAGUCUUGAGUGCAGGUGAGGUAGGCGGAAUUCGUGGUGGAGCGGUGAAAUGCUUAGAGAUCACGAAGAACCCCGGUUGCGAAGGCAGCUUACUAAACUGUGACUGACAUUGAGGCUCGAAAGUGUGGGUAUCAAACAGGAUUAGAUACCCGGGUAGUC
rnacentral:rRNA from 1 species